rnacentral:rRNA from 1 species
GACGAACGCUGGCGGCGUGCUUAACACAUGCAAGUCGAACGGAGUGGCGAACGGGUGAGUAACACGUGGGUGACCUGCCCUGCACUUCGGGAUAAGCCGGGGAAACUGGGUCUAAUACAGGAUAGUGGGGGAUGGGCCCGCGGCCAAUCAGCUUGUUGGUGGGGUAAUGGCCUACCAAGGCGGCGGCGGGUAGCCGGCCUGAGAGGGUGGACGGCCACAUGGGGCCUGAGACGGGGCCCAGACUCCUACGGGAGGCAGCGGUCGGGAAUAUUGCCCAAUUGGCGGAAGCCUGUUGCAGCGACUCCGCGUGGGGGAUGACGGCCUUCGGGUUGUAAACUCCUUUCACCAUCGACGCGGUAGCUGAAGAAGAAGCACCGGCUAACUACGUGCCAGCAGCCGCGGUAAUAC